rnacentral:rRNA from 1 species
UACGAAGGGGGCUAGCGUUGUUCGGAAUUACUGGGCGUAAAGCGCGCGCAGGCGGUCUUCCAAGUCAGUGGUGAAAGCCCGGAGCUCAACUCCGGAACUGCCAUUGAAACUGUAAGACUUGAGGAUGAGAGAGGUGAGUGGAAUUCCCAGUGUAGAGGUGAAAUUCGUAGAUGUUGGGAAGAACACCGGUGGCGAAGGCGGCUCACUGGCUCAUAUCUGACGCUCAGGCGCGACAGCGUGGGGAUCAAACAGG